rnacentral:lncRNA from 1 species
GCUGCAUGCCCACAUCCUCCUCAUCCAUGACACAAGCUCUGCAUCGUGCUGAAAAACUGGGGUUACUAGCGGUGAAAGUGUGAGGUGAGCGUUCUGAGAAAAACACAGGAGUGAAGUGUUGAGCCCAAGCCGGUCUGCUGCAGACAAGGAUCUGUAUACCACACCGCGUAGAGUGACUCAGGUCCAUACCUGCUCUUUUACUGUUUGCAGCUCUGGACAUCAAGCUCAGACUCCCAAGUGAGACGAGUGCUCUCCAGCUUAGCUGUACUUCCAGAUCUGACCUAAUCUGAUGGCUGCUUUCAUGAAGUGAGCGUGGGGGGGGCACAACUGUUUUGGUGGACACCACCGAAACCCACCUGUAUGGCUCACAACGCUCAAGAUGGAUGCUGUUUGGCU